CCCUUAGGUGUCCUGGGCAGCACGCGUGCUACAAUGAUGCAUUCAACGAGUCUUGCCUUAACCGAAAGGUUCGGGUAAACUUUUGAAAUUGCAUCUUGUCGGGGCUUGAUCAUUGUAAUUUUUGAUCACAAACAAGGAAUUCCUUGUAAAUGUGAGUCAUCAACUUGCAUUGAAUACGUCCCUGCCCUUUGUACACACCGCCCGUCGCUUCUACCGAUGAAUGAUCCGGUGAACACUCUGGACUUGUUGUCUGUCGGAGCAAUCCAAAGACGAUAGGGAAGUUGUGUAAACCUUAUCAUUUAGAGGAAGAAGAAGUCGUAACA
rnacentral:rRNA from 1 species